rnacentral:rRNA from 1 species
CCCUAUGGGGUGCAGCAGGCGAGAAAACUUUGCAAUGCGCGAAAGCUCGACAAGGUUAAUCUGAGUGGUUCCUGCUAAAGGAACCUUUUGUUAGUCGUAGAACCACUGAUGAAUAAGGGGUGGGCAAGUUCUGGUGUCAGCCGCCGCGGUAAAACCAGCACCUCAAGUGGUCAGGAUGAUUAUUGGGCCUAAAGCAUCCGUAGCCUGUUCUGUAAGUUUUCGGUUAAAUCCAUAAGCUCAACUUAUGGGCUGCCGAAAAUACUGCAGGACUAGGGAGUGGGAGAGGUAGACGGUACUCGGUAGGAAGGGGUAAAAUCCUUUGAUCUAUUGAUGACCACCUGUGGCGAAGGCGGUCUACCAGAACACGUUCGACGGUGAGGGAUGAAAGCUGGGGGAGCAAACCGGAUUAGAUACCCGGGUAGUCCCAGCUGUAAACGAUGCAAACUCGAUGAUGCGUUGGCUUGUUGCUAGCGCAGUGUCGCAGGGAAGCCGUUAAGUUUGCCGCCUGGGAAGUACGUACGCAAGUAUGAAACUUAAAGGAAUUGGCGGGGGAGCACCACAAGGGGUGAAGCCUGCGGUUCAAUUGGAGUCAACGCCUGAAACCUUACCCGGAGAGACAGCAGAAUGAAGGUCAA